GACGAACGCUGGCGGCGUGCUUAACACAUGCAAGUCGAACGGAAAGGCCCUGCUUUUGUGGGGUGCUCGAGUGGCGAACGGGUGAGUAACACGUGAGUAACCUGCCCUUGACUUUGGGAUAACUUCAGGAAACUGGGGCUAAUACCGGAUAGGAGCUCCUGCUGCAUGGUGGGGGUUGGAAAGUUUCGGCGGUUGUGGAUGGACUCGCGGCUUAUCAGCUUGUUGAUGGGGUAGUGGCUUACCAAGGCUUUGACGGGUAGCCGGCCUGAGAGGGUGACCGGCCACAUUGGGACUGAGAUACGGCCCAGACUCCUACGGGAGGCAGCAGUGGGGAAUAUUGCACACUGGGCGGAAGCCUGAUGCAGCAACGCCGCGUGCGGGAUGACGGCCUUCGGGUUGUAAACCGCUUUCGCCUGUGACGAAGCGUGAGUGACGGUAAUGGGUAAAGAAGCACCGGCUAACUACGUG
rnacentral:rRNA from 1 species